rnacentral:lncRNA from 1 species
CAAAUUCAGACAAGGCCAGUCUUGGUGGUGGUACUGAUGGUAAUAAUGGUGGUUAUGAGCACUUUCAAUGUGGAGGGAGGAGGGAGAGGAAUACACAACCAAGAUCAAAGGCUUCACCAUGUUGGAAAUAAAUCCGUCUUUCCAUCAGCAAGAGGAGUAGACAACCACCAUAACAUUCCACGACAAAACUAUGACAAUUGGGGUGGAAAAGGAGGAGACGCUGGUGGCGACGAUGGAACCGGUUAGCACCAGAAACACGUAAGACAAGACAUGACUGCGGCAAUGAUGCUCCUAAGACAUGUAUGUUUGUAUUAUGUAAAGAUUGUGAUGUAAUUUCUGGCUUAUGUUACAUUUUGUGGUUUUAUUUGAUGUCUCCCAAGUAUACAUGUAUUUUUGAGAAGUGUUGUGGUUCCAAGCUUGUGUGAUGAAUGAAUGGCACUACUCAUGAGAAGUGAGUUUCAUAAAGAAAAAGUAUGGAUUACGUGUAGUUAAAAUUAGUACCUUUACAGCUGAUCUGGUCAAAUUCUCGUCGAAAGUUAGUGAAUUCGGUUUCAAUGUAAAAAUCGAUCGGCAGAAAUCUAGAAAAAA